UUCAUGAAGCUGGAAUUGCUAGUAAUGGCAGGUCAGCAUACUGCCGUGAAUACGUUCCCGGGCCUUGUACACACCGCCCGUCACACCAUGAAAGUUGGGAAUACCCGAAGCCUGUGAGCUAACUUAUAGAGGCAGCAGUCGAAGGUAGAAUCAAUGAUUGGGGUGAAGUCGUAACAAGGUACC
rnacentral:rRNA from 1 species